AGGACGAACGCUGGCGGCGCGCUUAACACAUGCAAGUCGUACGGGGCCCUUCGGGGUUCAGUGGCGAACGGGUGCGUAACACGUGAGUGACCUGCCCUUGUGCGGGGGAUAACCCGGGGAAACCCGGGCUAAUACCGCAUGCACUCCAGUGGCUUCAUGGCUGUUGGAGGAAAAGUGCUGUAAGGCACUGCGCAGGGAGGGGCUCGCGGCGUAUCAGGUAGUUGGUGAGGUAACGGCUCACCAAGCCGAUGACGCGUAGGGGGUCUGGAGAGGAUGGCCCCCCACAUUGGGACUGAGAUACGGCCAGACUCCGUACGGG
rnacentral:rRNA from 1 species